GGAGAAACAAAUUUAGGAAUUUUACAGCCAAAAACAAUUCCCAGAACCAAACCACAGGACUUGUCAAGUAAAGACAUUUGGAAGAUCCUACUGGGCACAGACACCGCAGCACAUUCAGGCAGCCUUGGGGACCAGAUCCUGGAUGCUGCUGCAGGAGUUGCUGCCCCUGCACCCUUUUGGAAUCCAAUGUGGUGGUGGUUGCUGUCCUCAACUCCUCAUGUUUUCCAAAUAUAUUCUAGGUGGUGCCCACUUCUUGGUAUCACUAGUUACCGAUUCACAGUCUGAAGAGCAGAGCCUAGACCCAUGCGCUAACUGCAAGGAGCCUGGAAAGAUUCCCCACAGAUUCUCAAAUAGACCUCUUGGAAUGGAGAUUAUACAUGAAGAACAGGACUUAUUAUUGGCUAAUUUUACAGUCUACACUGGAACUCUACGUGGAUCAAAUGAUAAGAUUCUUCCCAAAGCUACCAUCUAAGUCAACACAGGUUGUUGGGUAGACAAAAGCAAGAGAAGAUGACCACAGGGCCUUGUCACAGAUGUAAUCGUAUCUUCUACUGAAGGACUCUACUAAAGCUGCCCGAGUCAACUCCAUCAAAGGGGUUCAUGAUUGCAAUAUGUGUUUAAAGGAGAAGAAUUUUUCUUAAAAUGGACAUUUCUUGGCAGUCACUCAAUAAUCAUCCUUAGUCUCAUAUUCUUCUCUCUUUCCCAAUAACUAAGUCUUAAUGUAAUUAUCU
rnacentral:lncRNA from 1 species